rnacentral:rRNA from 1 species
GAUGAACGCGGCGGCGUGCUUAACACAUGCAAGUCGAACGAAGCUGUUAAAAGGAAGUCUUCGGAUGGAAUUUUAACAGACUUAGUGGCGGACGGGUGAGUAACGCGUGGAUAACCUGCCUUAUACAGGGGGAUAACGGAGAGAAAUUUCCGCUAAGACCGCAUAAGACCACAGCACCGCAUGGUGCAGGGGUAAAAUAUUAAUAGGUAUAAGAUGGAUCCGCGUCCGAUUAGCUUGUUGGUGAGGUAGAGGCUCACCAAGGCGACGAUCGGUAGCCGGCCUGAGAGGGUGAACGGCCACAUUGGGACUGAGACACGGCCCAAACUCCUACGGGAGGCAGCAGUGGGGAAUAUUGGACAAUGGGGGAAACCCUGAUCCAGCGACGCCGCGUGAGUGAAGAAGUAUUUCGGUAUGUAAAGCUCUAUCAGCAGGGAAGAAAAUGACG